GGGGCUGGCAGGAAGAGGUGCCUCCCAGAGGCAGGAGCAAUGGUGGCGGCGGCGGCAGCAGCAGCAGCAGCUUUGAGGAGAACCUGAGACUUGGAAGGGAAAAGCUUGGUAACACACUGUAACAGGGCUGAAAGCACGGAAUACGUGAACAUCCUAAACCUACAUCCUCACUGUUGCCUCCAUUAUCCCGGGACUGCAUACACAGUUGAACCCAGCUAGAUAGGAGGACCAUGUGCAGGUGAGCGGCGAAGGUCCCUCCCCCUUCACGGCUCCAUCUUUGAUGUGAUCACCUCUGUUGUCCAGAUCACUUCUGUUUCCCAUUGUCACGCCAGCCUUAGCCCAAGGUCUCUCCAGCUAUAUGAAUGUUAGCUCCAUGUUCCACCGUGGUGGGCCUGGAGGAGGAGGCCCAUCAUUUCCUAAUAUCGAACAGGCAUCAUGGAACCAGGUCCUCAGCUCCAGGCCUUUCCCACGCCUGGCUCCACAAGCUGCAAGGCCAAAGGGCAGAAGGGAAAGCCCCAAAUCUUCCAGCCCAGGAACAGUUCCCUGCAUCCUGUUUUUCUGUGAUGUCACUGAGACAGCUCGGAGCCCUGCCAGGGAGCCUGAGAAGCCCCAUUUGUCAUCCUGAAUCUCUAGGAGUCUCUGGAAAAGCAGAGUGCACGAGGCUGACAGUUUCCAGUGGCCCCAUAGCAGGCUCCACGUGCAGGACCAUUGUGAUGUGUGUUUCGGGGUCCGGUUGUGAUUCUGAGUCCUCUGCUUCCUCCCUUUCGGGGUGUCCAGAUGCCUUUGCACACCGGG
ensembl:lincRNA Gm14268 predicted gene 14268